rnacentral:rRNA from 1 species
AUUUAGCCAUGCUAGUUGCACGAGUUCACACUCGUGGCAGAUAGCUCAGUAACACGUGGCCAAACUACCCUAUGGAUCCCAAUAACCUCGGGAAACUGAGGCUAAUUCUUAAUACCGCUCACCCCCUGGAGUGGUGUGAGCCCGAAACGCUCCGGCGCCAUAGGAUGUGGCUGCGGCCGAUUAGGUAGACGGUGGGGUAACGGCCCACCGUGCCCAUAAUCGGUACGGGUUGUGAGAGCAAGAGCCCGGAAACGGUAUCUGAGACAAGAUACCGGGCCCUACGGGGCGCAGCAGGCGCGAAACCUUUACACUGCACGCGAGUGCGAUAAGGGGACUCCAAGUGCGAGGGCAUAUAGUCCUCGCUUUUUGCGACCGUAAGGUGGUCGCGGAAUAAGUGCUGGGCAAGACCGGUGCCAGCCGCCGCGGUAAUACCGGCAGCACGAGUGAUGACCGCUAUUAUUGGGGCCUAAAGCGUCCGUAGCUGGGCCGUGCAAUUCCAUCGGGAAAUCCGCGCGCUUAACGCUCGGGCGUCCGGAGGAAACUGCAUGGCUUGGAACCGGAAGACCAGAGGGGUACGUCCGGGGUAGGAUUGAAUUCCCGUAUUCUUGGACGGACCACCGGUGGCGAAAGCGCCUCUGGAAGACGGAUCCAACGGUGAGGRACGAAAGCUCGGGUCWCGAACCGRAUUAGAUACCCGGGUAGUCYGAGCUGUAAACGAUGUCUUCUAGGUGUGGCACAGCCUACGAGCCUGUGCUGUGCCGCAGGGAAGCCGUGAAGCAGACCGCCUGGGAAGUACGUCCGCAAGGAUGAAAAUUAAAGGAAUUGGCGGGGGAGCACUACAACCGGAGGAGCCUGCGGUUUAAUUGGACUCAACGCCGGACAUCUCACCAGCAUCGACAAUGUGCAGUGAAAGUCAGGUUGAUGACCUUAUAGGAGCCAUUGAGAGGAGGUGCAUGGCCGCCGUCAGCUCGUACCGUGAGGCGUCCUGUUAAGUCAGGCAACGAGCGAGACCCGCACUCCUAAUUGCCAGCAACACCUAGCGGUGGUUGGGUACAUUAGGAGGACUGCCAGUGCCAAAACGGAGGAAGGAACGGGCAACGGUAGGUCACUAUGCCCCGAAUGUGUUGGGGGACACGCGGGCUACAAAGGCCGAGACACUAGGAUGCAACCCUGAAAGGGGGCGCUAAUCUCUGAAAAU